AAUCUGUUGCGGUUUUCUUCCUUACCAAAUUUAGCAUGGCUCGGAUAUAGGUUCACUUCCACUCAGAUACGAUAUCAAACAAGUACUAUCUGGGGCCUGCUCCUUUGCACUCUGGACCUUCGUUGGAGAAGGCGAUGUUGGACACCGGUCAUGAAGACGAGGAAGGUGCUUUGAUUAGCCAGUGUCGCGGCCAAGGAGAAGAAGUUGUCGGAUCCUUCCCUCGUCUAUCUGAAGUCGUGUUUGUUGCCUGGGGCGAGCGAUCCCGAUGGAUUCUUAAAAGCUGCUGUUAACAACACAGGCCAGUAGAAAGUUGAAGCUUUGUUUGUUGUGACAAAGCAGCUUUCUGCUGAUUUAGGGGCAGCGUAGUCGAUUCCAGAGGGACAAAGUUGCAAGAAUGGGCAAGGAUCUAUUCUCACUACUGUGUAGUUGCAACAUUUCUCAGACACAAAUGUGAGGUUAAUGGCCCUACCCUUUAAUAGGCACUGCGUACUCUAAUUGAAUACUCUCACAAUACUGUCGGAUCGAAAUAUGGAGGACCCUUAGGAUUAAGGUUUCAACUUUUUGCAAGGACGCACAUAAAUACAUGGGUACAAAUGUACAACUUCAGUUAGAAGCAAGGUAGGCAUCAAAAUCUUGACUAGUCUAAGUCUAUAGUAGAGGAUAAUUUAAUGGCUAACCGUCCUCAUCUACCGUCAUGAUUUUGUGCUAUAUUAAGAAAAUAUGCAUUAAAUAUAAUUUAUUAUCAGAAAUAUGCUCACAAAUACACUUAUUUGAUUAUUUCAUUGUAUAGAGGAACAAUUGAUGCUACCUUCAAAUUUCAUCCUAUUAGUCCUGAAAAUUGGUUCAUUACUUGCACAAUCACAAUUCAAGCAACUCAAGAAGCAUGCGCCCUCCUAAAAAAAUUAGAAAAAAAAACCAAACAAAUUAAAAAAAACCUCAUGAGCCCAAUCUUUUGCAAUAUAUAAUGUACAAUGUUUUAAUAAAUCUUGGGACCUUCUGAAACAACAAUCAUGACCAAUAUUUUUCUCUAAAAAUCAAUUUCCUCUUUCUAUAAAAAGAAAAAAUAUAAAUUUCUAAGGUAAUUUAUGAUAAUACUUAU